ACGUAGGGGGCGAGCGUUGUCCGGAAUUACUGGGCGUAAAGAGCACGUAGGCGGGAACUUAAGUCAGGUGUGAAAGACCGAGGCUCAACCUCGGGGUGGCACUGGAAACUGGGUUUCUUGAGUGCAGGAGAGGAAAAUGGAAUUCCUGGUGUAGGGGUGAAAUGCGUAGAAAUCAGGAGGAAUACCGAUGGCGAAGGCGGCUUUCUGGACUAUCCCUGACGCUGAGGUGCGAAAGCGUGGGUAGCAAACAG
rnacentral:rRNA from 1 species